rnacentral:lncRNA from 1 species
CACAUUGCAACCCACAUUUCUGCAAUCUGCAUGGAGUUGCUACUGAAAGUUUCCAAUUUUUACCAUUUACCAAGGCAAAGUACAGGUUGCUGCUAUAGGUUAAAGCACAGCAAGAGAUUACUCCACAGAUGUGUCAUCAAGCUUCUUUCAGAAAAAGGUGAGAAUGUGACAUCAAAAGAAUCUGAGAUAACGCAACUUUUACUGUUGCUUAACUGCAUUACAUGUCCUAUUAAUUGCAGAGUAAUAGUAGGAGCAUCUGGGAUUAGCUGUCAAGAAGAGGAAGAACAUGCUAGCAGCAAGAAGAGCAUGCAAGUUAAGGAGAACUAAUGAAUGGCUCAAGUUCAUCACCAACGAAUGACCCUUGAAAACGAGAAGAGAUGAACCAAGAAGGCACAUCGCCAUGGCAGCAUCAA